rnacentral:rRNA from 1 species
GACGGAGGAUGCAAGCGUUAUCCGGAAUGAUUGGGCGUAAAGCGUCCGCAGGUGGCAGUUCAAGUCUGCUGUCAAAGACCGGGGCUUAACUUCGGAAAGGCAGUGGAAACUGAACAGCUAGAGUAUGGUAGGGGCAGAGGGAAUUCCUGGUGUAGCGGUGAAAUGCGUAGAGAUCAGGAAGAACAUCGGUGGCGAAGGCGCUCUGCUGGGCCAUAACUGACGCUCAGGGACGAAAGCUAGGGGAGCGAAUGGG